GAUGAAGAACGUAGCGAAAUGCGAUAAGUAAUGUGAAUUGCAGAAUUCAGUGAAUCAUCGAAUCUUUGAACGCACCUUGCGCCUUUUGGUAUUCCGAAAGGCACACCUGUUUGAGCGUCAUGAAUACCUCAAUCUCCAUCUUUUUUUCGGAUUGAUGGGUGACUUGGAUGUUGAGCCCUGCUGGUAUGCUAUAUCAGCUGGCUUUAAACUUAUUAGCCGGCUCUGUACUGGAUCGGUUUGACUCGACGUGAUAAUAUUAUCGUUGAGGAUGCAUGUCUCAUGCAGCCGGAAAGUAUCAAAGCAGCUUCUAGCUUGCCUUUAGUGCACUUUUACAUUUUAGACCUCAGAUCAGGUGGGACUACCCGCUGAACUUAAGCAUAUCAAUAAGCGGAGGA
rnacentral:misc_RNA from 1 species